CCUACGGGAGGCUGCAGUGAGGAAUAUUGGUCAAUGGCCGGAAGGCUGAACCAGCCAUGCCGCGUGAAGGUCAGUGCCCUAUGGGCGUUAAACUUCUUUUGUGCGGGAGCAAUAAUGGUCACGUGUGGCCAGACGAGAGUACCGUACGAAUAAGCAUCGGCUAACUCCGUGCCAGCAGCCGCGGUAAUACGGGGGGGGCAAGCGUUAUCCGGAUUUAUUGGGUUUAAAGGGUGCGUAGGCUGUGAGGUAAGUCAGCGGGGAAAUGCCCCCGCUCAACGGGGUGAAGUGCCAUUGAUACUGCCUUGCUGGAAUGCGGAUGCCGUGGGAGGAAUGUGUGGUGUAGCGGUGAAAUGCAUAGAUAUCACACAGAACACCGAUUGCGAAGGCAUCUCACGAAUCCGCGAUUGACGCUGAUGCACGAAAGCGUGGGUAUCAAACAGGAUUAGAUACCCCAGUAGUC
rnacentral:rRNA from 1 species